AAAGACUAAAAAACAAGAGAUGCAAGGUACAGGUGUAAUAAAAGGAAAAGGAUACUAGACAUUGGUAUUCAGUGUGAUCGAUGGAGAAGAGUUAAAGAAGCUACUGGGAUUGAAAAGGACGAGAAAAUGAUGGAAAUAUUGAUCGAUGCAACUACUUCUGAACUAGAGAGCUUCAACAAUCAUCUUUUGAUGUAUGCUUCAAAGCGAAAUGCUUUCAGCUAUGCUGUUUAUAGGUGCAGGUGUCAGUUAGCAGCAAUAGAUUAUUCAAAACACUUGAAUCGUCCUGUUUUGUUGGACAAAGAAGGAAAUUAGAGGGGAAAGAGUGCACUCAAAAGCUGCUGGUAAUUGGAGCACAAGACCUAUGAAAAAACCCAAGGAGUAUACAUACAUAACCCGUUUGAUCACUGAAGUUACAAAUGAAUUCACCAUAGG